UACGUAGGGGGCUAGCGUUGUCCGGAAUCAUUGGGCGUAAAGCGCGUGUAGGCGGUUCGGUAAGUCCGCUGUGAAAGUCGGGGGCUCAACCCUCGAAUGCCGGUGGAUACUGUCGGACUAGAGUACGGAAGAGGCGAGUGGAAUUCCUGGUGUAGCGGUGGAAUGCGCAGAUAUCAGGAGGAACACCAACGGCGAAGGCAAUCCCCUGGGCCUGCACUGACGCUCAUGCACGAAAGCGUGGGGAGCAAACAGG
rnacentral:rRNA from 1 species